rnacentral:rRNA from 1 species
UACGUAGGGUGCAAGCGUUGUCCGGAAUUAUUGGGCGUAAAGAGCUCGUAGGCGGUCUGUUGCGUCGGCUGUGAAAACCCGGGGCUCAACUCCGGGCCUGCAGCCGAUACGGGCAGACUAGAGUUCGGCAGGGGAGACUGGAAUUCCUGGUGUAGCGGUGAAAUGCGCAGAUACCAGGAGGAACACCGGUGGCGAAGGCGGGUCUCUGGGCCGAUACUGACGCUGAGGAGCGAAAGCGUGGGGAGCGAACAGG